GUAGGUGGCAAGCGUUGUCCGGAAUUAUUGGGCGUAAAGCGCGCGCAGGCGGUCCUUUAAGUCUGAUGUGAAAGCCCACGGCUCAACCGUGGAGGGUCAUUGGAAACUGGGGGACUUGAGUACAGAAGAGGAAAGCGGAAUUCCAAGUGUAGCGGUGAAAUGCGUAAAGAUUUGGAGGAACACCAGUGGCGAAGGCGGCUUUCUGGUCUGUAACUGACGCUGAGGCGCGAAAGCGUGGGGAGCAAACAGGAUUAGAUACCCUGGUAGUCCACGCCGUAAACGAUGAGUGCUAAGUGUUAGGGGGUUUCCCGCCCCCCUUAGUGCUGCGGCUAACGCAUUAAGCACUCCGCCUGGGGAGUACGGCCGCAAGGCUG
rnacentral:rRNA from 1 species